AGCUUUGCACAGUGGCAGUAUCAUAGCCAAUGAGGUUUACCUGAGGCGUGAUGAGUGCUAAUUAAAAUAGUAACUGCUAUAUUCCACUUCUCAACAUUAGAACGCUACACAGGAGGAAAGCAUCAGUGACCUAUGAUUUUCAAAAACAUGA
ensembl:snRNA U4 U4 spliceosomal RNA